GAUGAACGCUGGCGGCGUGCCUAAUACAUGCAAGUCGAGCGAACAGAUGAGGAGCUUGCUCCUCUGACGUUAGCGGCGGACGGGUGAGUAACACGUGGAUAACCUACCUAUAAGACUGGGAUAACUUCGGGAAACCGGAGCUAAUACCGGAUAAUAUAUUAAACCGCAUGGUUCAAUAGUGAAAGACGGUUUUGCUGUCACUUAUAGAUGGAUCCGCGCCGCAUUAGCUAGUUGGUAAGGUAACGGCUUACCAAGGCAACGAUGCGUAGCCGACCUGAGAGGGUGGUCGGCCACACUGGAAGUGAGACACAGUCCAGACUCCUACGGGAGGCAGCAGUAGGGAAUCUUCCGCAAUGGGCGAGAGCCUGACGGAGCAACGCCGCGUGAGUGAUGAAGGUCUUCGGGUCGUAAAACUCUGUUAUUAGGGAAGAACAAAUGUGUAAGUAACUAUGCACGUCUUGACGGUACCUAAUCAGAAAGCCACGGCUAACUACGUG
rnacentral:rRNA from 1 species